UGACAAUAGAUGCUUGGGUCCCUU
rnacentral:misc_RNA from 1 species